GUGGGGAAUAUUGCACAAUGGGGGAAACCCUGAUGCAGCAACGCCGCGUGAGUGAAGAAGUAUUUCGGUAUGUAAAGCUCUAUCAGCAGGGAAGAAAAAAGACGGUACCUGACUAAGAAGCCCCGGCUAACUACGUGCCAGCAGCCGCGGUAAUACGUAGGGGGCAAGCGUUAUCCGGAUUUACUGGGUGUAAAGGGAGCGUAGACGGUGGAGCAAGUCUGAAGUGAAAGCCCGCGGCUCAACUGCGGAACGGCUUUGGAAACUGAUUCACUGGAGUACUGGAGAGGCAGGCGGAAUUCCUAGUGUAGCGGUGAAAUGCGUAGAUAUUAGGAGGAACACCAGUGGCGAAGGCGGCCUGCUGGACAGAAACUGACGUUGAGGCUCGAAAGCGUGGGGAGCAAACAGGA
rnacentral:rRNA from 1 species